UGGCAGACGGUGUUGUGGUGACAGAGACUUGGAAAUCUCGGUACUGAAUUUAUGUGCAAAGAAAUGAUUUCUAAUGACGUCCUCGAAAGAAAAUCAAUGUAACACAUGGCUGUUUUUGAAAAGAAGGUGCAUAGAAAAGUUUAUUUGGAUGACACUCAAGUAUUGAAAUGUAUGUUUGAGAAUGCGCAGAAUAUCCAGGGGCACACGGAGUACGUGAUUCGUGUGCAGCGGGGGCCAGGGCCAGAGAAGUGCUGGCGAGUGUGCAAGCGCUACAAUGACUUUGUGUGCCUCCACAACGCUCUGCAGGCAUCGGGCCUCGCCCUGCCGCUGCCUCCCAAGAGGCUCAUCGGCAACAUGGACCGCGAGUUCGUAGCCGAGAGGAGGAUCUCGCUCGAGAACUACAUAAACUGCAUUCUGAUGAAUCCCAUUUUGGCUUCGUCUCUUCCUGUCAAGAAGUUUCUUGACCCAGACAAUUACUCAACUCCAUUCCAUGAACUUGCCUUGCAGCACGUGUCAAUGGCGCUGCGCAGCGAAAUGAACUACGAGGUGGUACGGCCAGUGCCCGAUAUGGGCUGGCGGCUGCGCAAGCACCACUUUCUGGUGCGUGACCGCAGUCGACCGGCGCAAGAGCUCUUGCUGUCGUGGGUGGAGCACGGUCCUGACAAGUACCUGGACGACAAGGACCUGCAGGCUGCCUUCAAGGCCCUCCGUCACCUGCAGCACCCGUUCAUCCAGACCAUAGAGUUGCUGAGCUGCAACGAGGUGGGGGGCUUUGUGGCGCGCAGGCUGAGUGUCGCAGGCAGCGUGCGGGACGUGCUGUGCUGCACCACGCCUAAGCUGCCCUUCCUGAAGAAGUACGGCAACCCACGCCAGCACCGGCCCUUCCCGGCGCCGGAGCUGGCUCUGCUGGGCUCCCAGAUCCUUCAGGCCCUCGGGUUCCUUCACGACAAGGGCCUGCCCUUCGGACACCUGCACACGGGCAACAUCGCAGUGGAAAGCGGCCGUGUCAAGCUGCUUGACGUGGAGAACGGGGUCCUGGGGCUGCCCUCGUACUACCGCCCCUACUUUGUGCAGCACAAGAAGAUACAGACCUUGGAGGCCAUCGAUGUCUACAGCUUCGGACACGUGCUGUUCGAGAUGGCGUUUGGCCGGCCGCUGCACGAGUCCGUAUGUGACGAUAUUCCCGCCGGCUGUCCCUCCAUGCUCGACUCGGUGCUGGAAGCAGUGUUGUCAAGCAAGGCGUGUCGCAGUGGCAUGCCGACCGUGGCAGCGCUCCUCGCACACCCGUUCUUCAGGAGCCAGGACACAGCGCCGGAGCGGCCUCAGUUCAAGCUGGCGCCUCUGACGCGGGACGCACUGCGCGGUGCCUGGCAGCGCACUGAGGCGCGUCUGCAUGAGGAGCAGCGAAUGGUGCGGCAGCAGAAGAGGCUGGUGAAGGUGCAGCAGCUGCUCAGCUCCGAGGAUGAGAUGAAGAAGCGCAAGCAGAAGCUGCGGCAGGAGCAGAAGGAGAGACAUCUGCAACUGCAGCAGCAAGACGCGCAGAUGAACGGCACAUCCCCUGAGCGUUCGGACAGCCCCAACAGCACCAGUACGGCCACCUCCGCUGGCACAGUCACGCCACCUGCAGGUUUGGCCAGCGUGCUGCUGCCCCCCUCCCCCCCACCACCCCCACCGCCCGCGCCCGUGAGCGGCUCCAGUCCGGGCAGAGACGCUCUCCUGGGCUCCAUUUGCAGCUUCGACAAGGCCUCCCUCCGCCCGACUGCCGGUCACUGACGCCCUUCCUCCCCCUCCUCACUGCCUCCAAGGCAGGCCGUGCUGUUGUGACUCAGCUCUGCUCAAAGUUGCUUUGAAGCAUCACAGCGUUAGUAGCGGCAUUGUGGCAGGAGUGUCAAUGGGUAGUGAACAAUGCCCAAACAGGGGAGUGAACAAUGCAUGAACAAGGAAAUGAAGAAUGCCCAAAUUGGGAAGUGAACAAUGUCCAAGUUGGGAAGUGAACAAUAGUAAAGUUAACAAUGCCCAAAUAGGAAAGUGAACAAUGCCCAAACAGGAAAGUGAACAAUGCAUGAACAGGGAAAACAGAAUGCUCCUAUUGAACUGUGCACUUAGGCUUAGGUGGUCAUAGCAAGGAUGGGCUGCUUCUGGAGUGUCGUCAAGUAGUUCCUGUUGUGGUAUGCUGGAUGAAAGAUGAAAGAGAGACAUCUAUCAAUAGUCGGUGCAUGUUUCAAAUUUGUAUUUAGAUCUGCAGCCAAACUCCAUGGCCAAGACAUGACAUGAUGUUUCUGCAAGCUGCCUUCAAGGACAGUUCUCAAACGUUACUAACAUUAUUGGCCAUUUUUCUGUCAUAUUGUUGCACUGAUUGUUCAUCAUUUACAAUUAGCUUUUUUAAUUUGAAACUGACUGUCCUUGAAACAUCCAACACUGCUGCAUGGCCUGUACAAUAUACGGCAAAAACCCAUUACAUAUUUAUUUAAAGACAUGUUAACAAAUUCAGCAAGUAUGUUGACAAAGCUUCACGGAGUAUAACAGUAUGUUCAUGUGAUAGCUCCUCAGGUAUUUAAAAGUUGAUCAGAGGUGAAAUGAAACAAUGUGACUGAUAAAAAUCACUCUAAAAAAGAAUAAAUUGCAUGAAGCCUCUCAGUAGAUGAAGCUGUUUUCCCUGUCACUUCUUGGCCGGUGAUGACACUGUUGCAGUCUGGGAAUGUAACGAACUUCAUUCUGCUGAAUUUUAAUGACAAGUUUAAUUCAGUGUGAAUUUCAAUAUAUAUAUAUAUAUAUUCUUUUUCUUUCCAUAUUCUGGAAUUUUUCAUACAUGAAAACUGGAUGUGAAUAAGAAUUUUAAAAAUUUUUCUAACUAGUUGCUCAUGAAAAAAUGUUUGUCUGGAAUGUUUGUUUGGAAUGUUAAAAAGAAUAUAAACACUGGUGUGAAUUAAUGUAGGAAAAUAAUAGGCAAAAUGACAGCUUACUUGAAUUGUAAAAUUGACAGUAUCAGUAGUAGUCGUAGGCUGUGAAUGUAAAUGACAAACACACAAAGAAAACAUUUUUUUGCCUCAGAAGUCGCUCUUGUGUCUACAAGCUGUAUGUAAAGUAAUUUGCUGUCCUGAGUGAGCAAAUGUAAGUCAGAAUGUGCAAGUUUGUUGUUCUAAAUUAAUACUCAGGUUGUUUCACAUAUUAACUAAAACAUUUUUUUUUUUUGACUGGUGUAUGUCCAAAAAAAGAAUCUAUCUUCACCAUUGCAAGAAUCAUUUGAAGAAUAUACAUUUCAAUUAGUUUACAAAGUACCAUUUAAACAUGUAUUUCCAAUUGGAGAAAAACUAUUUGAGUGUAUUGUAAGUAGCCCGUAAUGAAAUAAAACAUCUAUAGCUGUGUGAUUGGUAGAACAUUGUUAUCAAUGAGCACAAAAGAAAAUGCAUUCCUUUAUUAUAAUGAAACCAGGAACAUUUGUUAAUGAGCAUUUCACUUUGAGAAGCUUUUGUUAACAGUUGUGCAGCAACAGAAGCAAGACUGUGACCCUAGUGGCUACACAGAUCUUCACCUUUCCUCCAUUGGCCCUACACUUUGUUCUAAUGUACACUGGCUACACAUAACUCUGUAAUGUGUGAAAUGUACAGAUUGUAAAUAAACCUGAAAUAAAGGCACGGCUCAUAGGUUUUUCAACCAUCAUACAAUCGCUUGUAUUUUACUGUUCACUUUUACACUAAGGAAACAGGUUUUGUGCUAGUCAAAAUGUGUCAAGUUUGUGACUGAGUGUAUAUUAUGCAUUUAUUUGCGGUAUUGUUGGGAUCAAGCAGUAUGAUGUAUAAAUACGUGUUAAACACUAACCAAAGAUGUAACCAAUUUGUAAUUUUGGUUGUUUCAUUUCAAAGAAUGCAAUUUGUAUUUGUGUAUUAUUAAAUUGUAUGUUCCUGUUAAGUGAAAUCAAUAUGUUGAUCUUUAAAAAAUGUGUAUAUAUAUUAAUUUGCUAUUAUAUGGCACUGUCAGUGUUUGCAGAGGCAUGAAUUUAAUACAUAGCAUUCACAUGUGUGCA